GCUCGCUUGGUGAAAUAUGGUAAACACGAUGGAUUUAAAAUUCAUUCUCUAUUUAAGAGUUAUUGGUUCAAGUCCAAUAGCGAGUA
rnacentral:tRNA from 1 species